rnacentral:rRNA from 2 species
GAUGAACGCUGGCGGCGUGCCUAACACAUGCAAGUCGAACGGGGUGUUACUAACAGAUUCCUUCGGGAUGACGACUGUAACAGCUAGUGGCAGACGGGUGAGUAACACGUGAGUAAUCUACCCUAUACAGAGGUAUAACUUAUAGAAAUGUAAGCUAAUCCCUCAUAGUCUUGUUAAACCGCAUGGUUUUUUCAAGUAAAGAUUUAUCGGUAUAGGAUGAGCUCGCGACUGAUUAGUUAGUUGGUAGGGUAAUGGCCUACCAAGACCACAAUCAGUAGCCGGACUGAGAGGUUGACCGGCCACACUGGGACUGAGAUACGGCCCAGACUCCUACGGGAGGCAGCAGUGGGGAAUAUUGCACAAUGGACGGAAGUCUGAUGCAGCGACGUCGCGUGAAGGAUUAAGGUUUUCGGAUCGUAAACUUCAAGCAGCAGGGACGAAUAAACUGACGGUACCUGACUAAAAGCACCGGCUAACUACGUGCCAGCCGCCGCAGUAACACCUAA